GCUGGGCUUGGUGAUGCAUGCCUGAAAUUCCAGCUACUCAGGAGGCUGAGGCAGGAGGAUUGCAAGUUCAAGGCCAGCCUGGACAACUUGUAAGACACUAUAUCAA
rnacentral:sRNA from 1 species